GAUGAACGCUAGCGGCAGGCCUAAUACAUGCAAGUCGAGGGGUAGAGAGAGCUUGCUCUCUUGAGACCGGCGCACGGGUGCGUAACACGUAUGCAACCUACCUUUAUCUGGGGGAUAGCCCGAAGAAAUUCGGAUUAACACCGCAUAAAAUCACAGAACGGCAUCGUUCAAUGAUCAAAUAUUCAUAGGAUAGAGAUGGGCAUGCGUGCCAUUAGUUAGUUGGCGGGGUAACGGCCCACCAAGACCGCGAUGGCUAGGGGAUCUGAGAGGAUGGCCCCCCACACUGGUACUGAGACACGGACCAGACUCCUACGGGAGGCAGCAGUAAGGAAUAUUGGUCAAUGGAGGCAACUCUGAACCAGCCAUGCCGCGUGCAGGAAGACAGCCCUCUGGGUCGUAAACUGCUUUUAUUCGGGAAUAAACCUGCUUACGUGUAAGUAGCUGAAUGUACCGAAGGAAUAAGGAUCGACUAACUCCGUGCCAGCAGCCGCAGUAAAAC
rnacentral:rRNA from 1 species